rfam:Triticum urartu cultivar G1812 contig125637, whole genome shotgun sequence.
CAUGUACUCACUCCGUUCCGAAUUACUUAUCACAAAUAUGGAUGUAUCUAGAUUUAUUUUAGUUUUAGAUACAUCAAUUUCUGUGACAAGUAAUUUGAAACGGAGGGAGUAGUAU